rnacentral:rRNA from 1 species
GCGUCUGAUUAGCUAGUUGGUAAGGUAACGGCUUACCAAGGCGACGAUCAGUAGCCGACCUGAGAGGGUGAUCGGCCACAUUGGAACUGAGACACGGUCCAAACUCCUACGGGAGGCAGCAGUGGGGCAUAUUGCACAAUGGGCGAAAGCCUGAUGCAGCAACGCCGCGUGAGUGAUGAAGGCCUUCGGGUCGUAAAACUCUGUCCUCAAGGAAGAUAAUGACGGUACUUGAGGAGGAAGCCCCGGCUAACUACGUGCCAGCAGCCGCGGUAAUACGUAGGGGGCUAGCGUUAUCCGGAUUUACUGGGCGUAA